rnacentral:rRNA from 1 species
GUCUAUGGUCAUGCCACCCUAAAUGUGCCCGAUCUUGUCUGAUCUCGGAAGCUAAGCAGGGUUGGGCCUGGUUAGUACUUUAAUGGGAGACCACCUAGGAAUACCAAGUGCUAUAGGCA